rnacentral:lncRNA from 1 species
AGGACCUUGUUUUAUGAUGAGGUUCUUCCUUCUGUCAAUCUGACAGAAGUUCUCUCAGAAGUAGCUGGAACUGCCUGGGACAUGCUGAUCACCCCAUUUGAUUUCAUUGCCAUCGCUAUUACUGCUCAGGCCAAAUGCUGUAGAGGUCGUAUGCUCACAGUGUCCUCGGCCCCCAUGGACUCCUGGAAUCCUCCCAAGUCUUUGAGAGGAGACAGAACAACUUUGAGAGGAUCAAUCGAAUGGGCAAAGCUUAUAAUUGGACAAGACCCUGCCUCUCCCCAACUCCCUUGCAGAUCAAAGAAAUUCAUUUAGAACACGCUGAGAAGGUCCUCAUUUCUCUUCACCAGCACAAGUUUCUUAUGGACUACCCAUAAACGCAGAAGAUGAACUGUGACAGCUUCCCCACAAAAUAAACUGCUUUAAAAUGCUCA